UACGUAGGGUGCGAGCGUUAAUCGGAAUUACUGGGCGUAAAGCGUGCGCAGGCGGUGAUGUAAGACAGGUGUGAAAUCCCCGGGCUUAGCCUGGGAAUGGCAAUGGAGACUGCAAGGCUAGAGUUUGGCAGAGGGGGGUAGAAUUCCACGUGUAGCAGUGAAAUGCGUAGAUAUGUGGAGGAACACCGAUGGCGAAGGCAGCCCCCUGGGUCAAAACUGACGCUCAUGCACGAAAGCGUGGGGAGCAAACAGG
rnacentral:rRNA from 1 species